ensembl:miRNA
UAGGAAGAGGUAGUAGGUUGCAUAGUUUUAGGGCAGGGAUUUUGCUCACACGGAGUUAACUAUACAACCUGCUGCCUUUCUUAGGGC